GUGUUCACUUCAGCAGCACAUAUACAAAAAUCAUAACAAUACAAAGAUUAGUGUGGCCCCGUCCAAGGAUAACACGCAAAUUAGUGAAAUAUUCCAUUUGUGU